GAAGGGUGCUCCAGGUGGGCCACAGAAAAUGCCCAGUCCACACCAGCUCCCGCAGUCGCUAGUGCUAGGACCGGGAAAGGGGCUGAGCAGAGCCUGGAACGCCUACAGCCUCACAGCCCAGUGGUUUUCGAACUUAAGAGCAUUGGCCACACCUGGAGCACCCAGUCCCUGACACAGCACAGGGGAUGAGGAUCUGCAACCGUAAAAGUUCCAGCCUUCCACGUGCCUGGCACUGGCCUGGGCACCAAAUGUGAAGUACGUCACUUGAUCCUCAGGGCACCCCUGCAAGGCAGCUGUGGGGAGGUGAAGUAACAAGGUGAAGGUCACGUGCUGGAAAGUCAGCGCUGAGGUGCCAAGGACAAUGGCUGGCACCCAGGCCUUUGCACCAACCGUUGCAAGCAUGUGUUUUACCUGUGACACAGAGAGGAAGCUCGAUGACUGUGACUUUCUUUCCUUCUACCUUUUUGCUUCUGAAACCCCAGGGCCAGGCAAGCAUCAGGCACAUAAGAAGUGUUCAGUAAAGGUCUCUGGGAUGAAUGAA